rnacentral:rRNA from 1 species
GACAGAGGGUGCAAGCGUUGUCCGGACUUACUGGGCGUAAAGCGUGUGCAGGCGGGCCGCUAUGUGCCGUGUGAAAGCUCUCAGCUUAUCUGGGAGAGGUCGCGGUAGACAGGCAGCCUGGAGGCUCGGAGAGGUCAGUGGAAUUCCCGGUGUAGUGGUGAAAUGCGUAGAUAUCGGGAGGAACACCAGUGGCGAAGGCGACUUCCUGGCCUGUUCUUGACGCUGAGGCGCGAAAGCUAGGGGAGCAAACGGG